CGUUGUAGCAUACCUCACUGUAUAAUGUGAUCUAUGAUUUUAAUGAUACAUAAUAAUAAUUUAUAUUUGACAAUUGAAUAUGUAUUUAAUUUAAAUCAUAUCUGUGUAUUAAUAUCUCACUUCACACUUUGGAAUCAUGUGAACAAUUCAUCUAACCUCAAGAAUCUUGUGAUGAACAAUAGAAAGUGUAUGUUUUUUAUUCCAUGGAUGAGCUGGUACUUCUUUGAACAGAGGGCUGUUGGGGUUUUGAUCUAUCUUCUUUGAACAAAUUCGGAGAAGAUAGAUCAAAUACAUAGAGGAACAGAAUUCGUUUUUUUUGUCAUUUUCUAUAUGAAGAAAGAAAAUUCUUUGAUCACCCUGCAGAUCAAAGCAUUAGAUUGGAAUCUGACUUUCUGGUUGAAAAAUUUAUAGCUGAAUAAUUGAAGAGUUAGGUUGUUGAUGUUCUUCCUUCUUUUUUUUUCUAUCUGAAACAAAUGAUAUGAAAAUUUCUUGCAC
rnacentral:lncRNA from 1 species